UAAGGAUUCUCUAACUUUCGUCUCUUUCUCUUUCCAACUCAUCCUUAACCUCUCUAAUAAUUAUUUUUUAUCUUCCAAGACAUUAAAAAUUGGUAACCGAAUUUUCCUUUUCAUUAACUCUAUUUUUUCUCUUGCUACUCCAUUCUACACUUCCUCUUCAUAUCAUCAACCAAAUCUACCAUUCAUUCCUAAAGUUGUUAAUUAGGUUUAUUGUUUUGUUCCCUUUCUUAUACUCUCUCUCACACAAUUUUUUUGGUACUCAAGAAUCAUCCUUUUUCUUUUUUCUGAAAAUAAGGUAUAUGAAGAAGUGUAGAAAGCUAUAAAGGAAAACAAUAUUUUCUCAUUUGAAGAGAAAGUUGACUCAAAGGUAGAAAAAGAUGGCAGUCGUGAGAGCUUUGAUAAGACAAAUAUAACAGAUAGAACAGCUGUAACAGAGAACAUUGAUAAUGAUAGGAGGUCACCAUUUAAAGAACAACCACAGUUGAAGAAAAAGAACAAACUUUUGCUUGGAAAGUUUGGAAGCCUCCUCAAGAAAAAAGUGGUAGCAACCAUAAACGGAGAUAACAUUUUCAACAUUUGUGUGCAUAUCUUGAAAUUUAUAACAAUGUUGGUAAUUCACUGGAUCUAUCAAUUGCUAUCCUUGAAUGUGCUAGGUUUCAUUCGGAUAGUGUGUAUGAAAUACCAAAUGUGAGAAUAAUGGAAAGGUUUUGCUUCA